UACGAGUGCCCCAAGCGUUAUCCGGAAUCAUUGGGCGUAAAGGGUGUGUAGGCGGUUGUGUUAGUCUUCUGUUAAAUUCUUCGGCUUAACCGGGGGCAUGCAGAGGAAACGGCACAACUAGAGGAUGCGAGAGGUAAAUGGAACUCAUGGAGUAGGGGUGAAAUCCGUUGAUAUCAUGGGGAACACCGAAAGCGAAGGCAAUUUACUGGCGCACUCCUGACGCUGAGACACGAAAGCGUAGGUAGCGAAUGGG
rnacentral:rRNA from 1 species